UACGAAGGGGGCUAGCGUUGCUCGGAAUUACUGGGCGUAAAGCGCACGUAGGCGGCUUUCUAAGUCGGGGGUGAAAUCCUGGCGCUCAACUCCAGAACUGCCUUCGAUACUGGAGAGCUCGAGUCCGGGAGAGGUGAGUGGAACUGCGAGUGUAGAGGUGAAAGGCGUAGAGAUUCGCAAGAACACCAGUGGCGAAGGCGGCUCACUGGCCCGGUACUGACGCUGAGGCGCGAAAGCUAGGGGAGCAAACAGG
rnacentral:rRNA from 1 species